GCGCGAAAACUUUACAAUGCGGGAAACCGUGAUAAGGGAACCCCGAGUGCCUGUAUAUGCAGGCUGUCCAGGUGUCUAAAAAACACCUGAAGAAAGGGCCGGGCAAGACCGGUGCCAGCCGCCGCGGUAAUACCGGCGGCUCGAGUGGUGGCCACUUUUAUUGGGCUUAAAGCGUUCGUAGCUGGGUUGUUAAGUCUCUUGGGAAAUCUGACGGCUUAACCGUCAGGCGUCUAAGGGAUACUGGCAAUCUUGGAACCGGGAGAGGUGAGGGGUACUUCGGGGGUAGGAGUGAAAUCCUGUAAUCCUCGAGGGACCACCUGUGGCGAAGGCGCCUCACCAGAACGGCUUCGACAGUGAGGGACGAAAGCUGGGGGAGCAAACCGGAUUAGAUACCCGGGUAGUCCCAGCCGUAAACGAUGCGCGUUAGGUGUAUCGGUGACCACGAGUCACCGAGGUGCCGAAGAGAAACUGUGAAACGUGCCGCCUGGGAAGUACGGUCGCAAGGCUGAAACU
rnacentral:rRNA from 1 species